GCCACCGUAACUCAAUGGAUAGAGUACCGCUCUUAUAAAGCGGGUGCUGGGGGUUCGAUUCCCCCCGGUGGCAC
rnacentral:tRNA from 1 species